GACGAACCGUGCGAACGUUGUUCGGAAUCACUGGGCUUAAAGGGCGCGUAGGCGGACAUUCAAGUCGGUGGUGAAAUCCUCCCGCUUAACGGGAGAAGAGCUGUCGAUACUGGGUGUCUCGAGGGGUGUAGGGGUCUGUGGAACUUUGGGUGGAGCGGUGAAAUGCGUAGAGAUCCAAAGGAACGCCGGUGGCGAAAGCGACGGACUGGACACCUUCUGACGCUGAGGCGCGAAAGCCAGGGGAGCAAACGG
rnacentral:rRNA from 1 species